rnacentral:rRNA from 1 species
AAUUUUGGACAAUGGGGGAACCCUUGAUCAAGCAAUCCCGCGUUAAGGAGGAAGGCCUUCGGGUGGAAAGGACCUUUUGGAGGGAAGGAAAGGUAAUCCCCUAAACGGAAAACCGGCGGCCGGAACUGGCGGAUAAAGAACCGGCAACCUAGUUCCAAGAGCCCGCGGUAAUACGUAGGGUGCAAGCGUUAAUCGGAAUUACUGGGCGUAAAGCGUGUGUAGGCGGUUCGGAAAGAAAGAUGUGAAAUCCCAGGGCUCAACCUUGGAACUGCAUUUUUAACUGCCGAGCUAGAGUAUGUCAGAGGGGGGUAGAAUUCCACGUGUAGCAGUGAAAUGCGUAGAUAUGUGGAGGAAUACCGAUGGCGAAGGCAGCCCCCUGGGAUAAUACUGACGCUCAGACACGAAAGCGUGGGGAGCAAACA